rnacentral:tRNA from 1 species
GCUGGAGAGAUGGCUCAGUGGUUAAGAGCACUGACUGCUCUUCCAGAGGUCCUGAGUUCAAUUCCCAGCAAACA